rnacentral:rRNA from 1 species
GAUGAACGCUGGCGGCGUGCCUAAUACAUGCAAGUCGAGCGAACAGACGAGGAGCUUGCUCCUCUGACGUUAGCGGCGGACGGGUGAGUAACACGUGGAUAACCUACCUAUAAGACUGGGAUAACUUCGGGAAACCGGAGCUAAUACCGGAUAAUAUAUUGAACCGCAUGGUUCAAUAGUGAAAGACGGUUUUGCUGUCACUAAUAGAUGGAUCCGCGCCGCAUUGGCUAGUUGGUAAGGUAACGGCUUACCAAGGCAACGAUGCGUAGCCGACCUGAGAGGGUGAUCGGCCACACUGGAACUGAGACACGGUCCAGACUCCUACGGGAGGCAGCAGUAGGGAAUCUUCCGCAAUGGGCGAAAGCCUGACGGAGCAACGCCGCGUGAGUGAUGAAGGUCUUCGGAUCGUAAAACUCUGUUAUUAGGGAAGAACAAAUGUGUAAGUAACUAUGCACGUCUUGACGGUACCUAAUCAGAAAGCCACGGCUAACUACGUG